ACUAGCUUCUCUGCAUUGGCUCCCUGUAAAAUGUAGAAUUGAAUUUAAAAUCCUCCUCACCUAUAAAGCUCUUCAUGGUCAGGCCCCUUCAUAUCUUAAAGAGCUCAUAGUACCCUAUUACCCCACUAGAACACUACGUUCUCUGAAUGCUGGGCUACUUGUGGUUCCUAUAGUCUCUAAAAGUAGAACAGGAGCCAGAGCCUUCAGUUACCAAGCUCCUCUCCUGUGGAACCAGCUUCCAGUUGUGGUUCGGGAGGCAGACACCCUCACCACAUUCAAGAGUAGGCUUAAGACAUUCCUCUUUGAUAACGCUUAUAGUUAGGGCUGGAUCAGGUGAGUCCUGAACCAUCCCUUAGUUAUGCUGCUAUAGGCCUAGACUAUCGGGGGAUUUCCCAUGGUGCACUGAGCUCCUCCCUUCCUCUCUCUUUCUGCACUCAUUCAUGUUCCAUUAAUGCAUGUUACUAACUUCACUUCUUCCCUGGAGUUCUUGUGCUUUCUCGUCUCGCAGGUUCUUGUCGAUCCUGGUGGAGCCUCCUGCCAUGGUCCUGCUAGAUUGCCAUUACCAAUACUGUUGUUGCUGUGCACCUGUCUGUCUGUCUCUCGCUCUCUCUCUCUCUCUCUCUCUCUCACCCCAACUGGUCGAGACAGACGACCACCCACCUAGAGCCGAAGGAUCUGUCCUAGGUUUCUGCCUUUUAACAGGCAGUUUUUCCUUGCCCUUGUCGCCAAGUGCUUGCUCAUGGUGGUACUGUUGGGUCUCUGUAAUUAAUGUUUUAAAGAGUUCGGUCUAGACCUGCUCUAUUUGAAAAGUGUCCUGAGAUAACUUCUGUUAUGAAUUGGCGCUAUACAAAUAAAAUUGAAUUGAAUUGAA